rnacentral:rRNA from 1 species
GACGGAGGAUGCAAGCGUUAUCCGGAAUGAUUGGGCGUAAAGCGUCCGCAGGUGGCAGUUCAAGUCUGCUGUCAAAGACCGGGGCUUAACCCCAGAAAGGCAGUGGAAACUGAAAGGCUAGAGGAUGGUAGGGGCAGAGGGAAUUCCCAGUGUAGCGGUGAAAUGCGUAGAGAUUGGGAAGAACACCGGUGGCGAAAGCGCUCUGCUGGGCCAUAACUACACUCACGGAGGACGAAAAGCUAGGGGAGCGAA